AUAUGGGAAUACGGGAGCUCGAGCGAAUCGGGCUGAGAGUGCAGCUAAUGAACCGCUGCUGACCGGGAAUCUGAUCUGGAUAAUGCCAGCGUAGAGAAUUCAAGUCCUUCUAUG
rnacentral:ncRNA from 1 species